rnacentral:rRNA from 1 species
CGAACGCUGGCGGCGUGCUUAACACAUGCAAGUCGAACGAGGACUAGAGUGCUUGCACUCUAUAGCCGAGUGGCGAACGGGUGAGUAACACGUGACCAACCUAUCUACAGGCGGGGGACAACCUGGGGAAACCCGGACUAAUACCGCAUGAUGUCCAUACUUCGCAUGGAGCUUGGACCAAAGAGGGCCUCUACUUGUAAGCUCUCACCUGUUGAGGGGGUCGCGGCGUAUCAGCUUGUUGGUGAGGUAAUGGCUCACCAAGGCUACGACGCGUAGCGGGUCUGAGAGGACGAUCCGUCACAUUGGGACUGAGAUACGGCCCAGACUCCUACGGGAGGCAGCAGUGGGGAAUAUUGCGCAAUGGACGAAAGUCUGACGCAGCGACGCCGCGUGUGGGAGGAAGCCUUUCGGGGUGUAAACCACUGUCAGGGGGGAAGAAUGCCGGGUACCUGAAUAGGGUGCCCGAUUGACGGUACCUCCAAAGGAAGCGCCGGCUAACUCC